CUUCCUCUUCCCAAUACAUUCUCUGUCUUCUCUUCCGACCAAUUUACCCUCUCCGUCCCUUUUUCUUACCGAAUUCUCUCUCUCUCUAUCUAUCUAUCUUCUCCGACAUUUGGAUCUCAUAGCUUCUGCUUCUGCUUCCGCCGGUCAUGGCGUCGCAGGAGAAAGGUCGUCCACUGCCCAAGUUCGGAGAGUGGGAUGUAAAUAAUCCUGCUUCGGCUGAAGGUUUUACUGUCAUAUUCAACAAAGCUCGGGACGAAAGGAAGACACCUAUCGUUAACUCCGGUGCCCCAGCUUCACCAAGAAGAAAUGAUGUAGGUGGUCUGAAUCCAGAUCCCACCUAUCAAUAUCCAAGAAAGAGUAGUAAAUGGUUUUGCUGUGGCUGAGUGCUGGAGCUGGAGCAACAAGAGACUUGGUGCUGUAAUCUCAUGGCUAAAAAGACGAGGGCGGCCGAUGUCAGCGUGUAGCUGCUUCCUGUAACAGUGCUACCAUGUCUCAUUCUCCUUAUAUAUAUGUGUGUUACAUAUAAACAAAAGAGGAGUGAUGGAUGGAGACCAUUUUUCUUUUCUGGUGACACUGUUUAGCUUUGUUAUAACCGUGUGAUCUAAGUGGGAGGAUAAUGAUAUAGAUGCGCAACAAUCAUGUUCAGCUUGUCCUUGCUCCAUCCACAAGAAGCUAAGAGAAGAAGCUAUACAUCAGCCUGUAGAUCGACACCAGUGUUUAAUAAUACAAAGAAAUGGUUUGUUUGUGAUA